rnacentral:rRNA from 1 species
UACGUAGGGGGCAAGCGUUGUCCGGAAUCAUUGGGCGUAAAGAGCGUGUAGGCGGCCCGAUAAGUCCGCUGUGAAAGUCCAGGGCUCAACCCUGGAAUGCCGGUGGAUACUGUCGGGCUCGAAUCCGGAAGAGGUGAGUGGAAUUCCUGGUGUAGCGGUGAAAUGCGCAGAUAUCAGGAGGAACACCGGUGGCGAAGGCGGGACUCUGGGCCGAUACUGACGCUGAGGAGCGAAAGCGUGGGGAGCAAACAGG